rnacentral:piRNA from 1 species
UUAGUUUUUGUAAUUAACGAA